AUUUUUAUUUAUCAAUAUCUCUGUAUGAAAAUGGGUAUUAAUGCUCUGUAUAUUAUGGACAUAUUCUCUAUACAGUUAUAUUAAAGCGGUCAGUGCAGAAACGCGCGGGAAUACAGUUAUAUCAAAGCGGUCAGUAGACGAAACACGCGGAAGCGAGGAACGCGCGCGCGAAAAAUAAGGGAAAAGAGGAAAGGGUUGAAACAUUGACGAGCCACUGAUUAGUGUGUUAAAAUAUACGCGAUCGUGAUCUUGUUUUGGAGGG